rnacentral:misc_RNA from 1 species
AAUGUGCGAAAAGUAAUGCGAAUUGCAUACCUCUGCGAGUCAUCUAGUCUUUGAACGCAAAUGGCACUGUCACGACGAGUGAUAGUAUGUCUGUUUGAGAACCACAAAAACACUCACCACUUUAUUAGUGUGUAGAUUUGUCCCUUUUAUACUACUCUAUAAUGGGAUUAAAUGAAUGAUGCUGCGUAGAUUACACACAGAAUAUGUGAUAAUAUCUUCAUAUUCAUAGUGUGAUCUUUUAUACGUGCAUGGUAUUAGCGUGUACUAUAUUAUAUAGUAACAUAUAUUAUAUAGUAUAUGCACUCCAAAAACAUGGUCUCAAAUUAGACAAGGUUACCCGCUGAACUUAA